rnacentral:tRNA from 1 species
GCAAUCGCAGCCGAGUGGUUAAGGCGAUGGACUUGAAAUCCAUUGGGGUCUCCCCGCACAGGUUCGAAUCCUGUCGACUGCG